rnacentral:tRNA from 1 species
AGGGAUGUAGCUCAGUAGUAGAGCACUUACCUAGCAUAUGUGAGGCCCUGGGUUCAAUCCCCAGCACCACAC